rnacentral:rRNA from 1 species
UACAGAGGGUGCAAGCGUUAAUCGGAAUUACUGGGCGUAAAGCGUGCGUAGACGGUUACAUAAGUCGGGUGUGAAAGCCCCGGGCUCAACCUGGGAACUGCAUUUGUGACUGUAGAGCUGGAGUACGGCAGAGGGGGAUGGAAUUCCGCGUGUAGCAGUGAAAUGCGUAGAUAUGCGGAGGAACACCGAUGGCGAAGGCAAUCCCCUGGGCCUGUACUGACGCUCAUGCACGAAAGCGUGGGGAGCAAACAGG